GACGAACGCUGGCGGCGUGCUUAACACAUGCAAGUCGAGCGGAGCGGCGGACGGGUGAGUAACGCGUGAGUACCUGCCCCCCUCUCUGGGAUAACAGUUGGAAACGGCUGCUACUACCGGAUAGUGUGGGAUGACUCGCGUUCUAUCAGCUUGUUGGUGGGGUAGUGGCCUACCAAGGAGACGACGGGUAGCCGGCCUGAGAGGGCGACCGGCCACAUUGGGCUGAGAUACGGCCCAAACUCCUACGGUAGGCAGCAGUGGGGAAUAGUGCACAAUGGGGGAAACCCUGAUACAGCAACGCCGCGUGCGGAAUGACGGCCUUCGGGUUGUAAGCCGCUUUCAGCCAGGACGCGGUAGUGGCAGAAGAAGCACCGGCUAACUACGUGCCAGCAGCCGCGGUAAUUC
rnacentral:rRNA from 1 species